rnacentral:rRNA from 2 species
CGUGAGUGAUGAAGGUUUUCGGAUCGUAAAGCUCUGUUGUUAGGGAUUAACAAGUGCCGUUCAAAUAGGGCGGCACCUUGACGGUACCUAACCAGAAAGCCACGGCUAACUACGUGCCAGCAGCCGCGGUAAUACGUAGGUGGCAAGCGUUGUCCGGAAUUAUUGGGCGUAAAGGGCUCGCAGGCGGUUUCUUAAGUCUGAUGUGAAAGCCCCCGGCUCAACCGGGGAGGGUCAUUGGAAACUGGGGAACUUGAGUGCAGAAGAGGAGAGUGGAAUUCCACGUGUAGCGGUGAAAUGCGUAGAGAUGUGGAGGAACACCAGUGGCGAAGGCGACUCUCUGGUCUG